UACGGGGGGGGGCAAGCGUUGUUCGGAAUUACUGGGCGUAAAGGGUUCGUAGGUGGCUUGCUAAGUCAGACGUGAAAUCCCUCAGCUUAACUGGGGAACUGCGUCUGAUACUGGCGAGCUUGAGUGCAGGAGAGGAACGCGGAAUUCCAGGUGUAGCGGUGAAAUGCGUAGAUAUCUGGAGGAACACCGGUGGCGAAGGCGGCGUUCUGGACUGCAACUGACACUGAUGAACGAAAGCCAGGGGAGCAAACGGG
rnacentral:rRNA from 1 species